CAAGCGUUAUCCGGAUUUAUUGGGUUUAAAGGGUGCGUAGGCGGUUUGAUAAGUUAGAGGUGAAAUUUCGGGGCUCAACCCUGAACGUGCCUCUAAUACUGUUGAGCUAGAGAGUAGUUGCGGUAGGCGGAAUGUAUGGUGUAGCGGUGAAAUGCUUAGAGAUCAUACAGAACACCGAUUGCGAAGGCAGCUUACCAAACUAUAUCUGACGUUGAGGCACGAAAGCGUGGGGAGCAAACAGGAUUAGAUACCCUGGUAGUCCACGCAGUAAACGAUGAUAACUCGUUGUCGGCGAUACACAGUCGGUGACUAAGCGAAAGCGAUAAGUUAUCCACCUGGGGAGUACGUUCGCAAGAAUGAAACUCAAAGGAAUUGACGGGGGCCCGCACAAGCGGAGGAACAUGUGGUUUAAUUCGAUGAUACGCGAGGAACCUUACCCGGGCUUGAAAGUUAGCGACGAUUCUUGAAAGAGGAUUUCCCUUCGGGGCGCGAAACUAGGUGCUGCAUGGUUGUCGUCAGCUCGUGCCGUGAGGUGUCGGGUUAAGUCCCAUAACGAGCGCAACCCCUACCGUUAGUUGCCAUCAGGUGAAGCUGGGCACUCUGGCGGGACUGCCGGUGUAAGCCGAGAGGAAGGUGGGGAUGACGUCAAAUCAGCACGGCCCUUACGUCCGGGGCUACACACGUGUUACAAUGGUAGGUACAGAGGGCAGCUACCCAGCGAUGGGAUGCGAAUCUCGAAAGCCUAUCUCAGUUCGGAUUGGAGGCUGAAACCCGCCUCCAUGAAGUUGGAUUCGCUAGUAAUCGCGCAUCAGCCAUGGCGCGGUGAAUACGUUCCCGGGCC
rnacentral:rRNA from 2 species